AUUGAACGCUGGCGGCAGGCUUAACACAUGCAAGUCGAACGAUGACGGUACUGCUUGCAGUACCUAAUUAGUGGCGGACGGGUGAGUAACGCUUAGGAAUCUACCUAAUAAUGGGGGAUAGCCCGGGGAAACUCGGAUUAAUACCGCAUACGUCUUACGAGAGAAAGGGGGCUACUUGUAGCUCUCGUUAUUAGAUGAGCCUAAGUUAGAUUAGCUAGAUGGUGGGGUAAAGGCCUACCAUGGCGACGAUCUAUAGCUGGUCUGAGAGGAUGAUCAGCCACACCGGAACUGAGACACGGUCCGGACUCCUACGGGAGGCAGCAGUGGGGAAUAUUGGACAAUGGGGGCAACCCUGAUCCAGCCAUGCCGCGUGUGUGAAGAAGGCCUUUUGGUUGUAAAGCACUUUAAGUAGCGAAGAAGACCCCAUGGUUAAUACCCAUGGGCGAUGACAUUAACUACAGAAUAAGCACCGGCUAACUCUGUGCCAGCAGCCGCGGUAAUACAGAGGGUGCGAGCGUUAAUCGGAAUUACUGGGCGUAAAGCGAGCGUAGGUGGUCCAAUAAGUCAGAUGUGAAAUCCCCGGGCUCAACCUGGGAACUGCAUCUGAAACUGUUAAACUAGAGUAGGUGAGAGGGGAGUAGAAUUUCAGGUGUAGCGGUGAAGUGCGUAGAUAUCUGAAGGAAUACCGAUGGCGAAGGCAGCUCCCUGGCAUCAUACUGACACUGAGGCUCGAAAGCGUGGGUAGCAAACAGG
rnacentral:rRNA from 1 species